CCAAUAUAGUUAUAUAAAACCACCGGAGAUCUAAACCGCGAAUGUGAAGUGGAUCAAAUGAAGAAUAUCAAUCAAAUUUCAGUUCUUUUAUUGCGAUCACGUUACGAAAAUGGCAAAAGGUGUGAUCACUUUCACGUUCAAUGGAACGUAGAGUAUUCAUAUCUGUCUUUUUUUUUAGUCGCAGAGUAUCUGGCUACCUACAAGCAACAUUUGACCCAGGCCAUGUGAAUCAGAUGCUUAUUCAUAAUCAAGGUAUUCCGUAUAAGCAGACGGAAGAUGUUGUGUAUCUUAGUACGAAGUUAAGAUGAGCUGUGAUUAAGGUUACCAUAUUUCCCGGAAACCAACCAAUCUAUGACCUCAGAGUACGAAACUCCUCCAUCAUCCAGGGCCCUAGCCGCGGCUGCAUGCGAAAGUUUUCCAAGCUCACUAAUAAACCACAUAGUAUUUAUGACACGAUUUGUCAGGGCAUACUGCACAACAAGACCGAACCAGAGUUUACCAUUCAAACGAAGCCAUCGCCAAAAGAUGAGCACCGCCGUUAGGUGUUAGGUACUAUGUCGAGAAGAAGUUCAAUCUGACAUCAUUGGCGGCUAGUAGAAGUUGUUAUUCAUAUUCAGUAAUAAUUAGCAGUUUCAUUGUAGGAAAUAGGACAUCAUUGCCCCGCCAUCUCAUGUGUGGAUUACUUUUUUAUUCUUUUGGCAUGCAAGAAAAGCUUUUCUUGGUGUAUGUGAAAGUAUGAAAUAAAUAUUGACAUAUAUAAUCACAUA